CUCUUUUUUUUAAAUAAGCGUUUUGAAAUAAAAUUUAAACGAAAAUCGCAAAAUAAAUUAUUGCUUUUCAAAUUAUGUAUUACCGAACUAUUCUCGGAAUUGUCUUUCCUCAAGUAAUGGUUUAUCGUUGCUUACAGAUAUAAAUGAAAUAACCUUAUGUAUCCUACCUUCCCAACUUCUCACCUACAACAAUGGCCGCUACCAUCCCCAGUAUUAGCUUUUUUUCCCCUUGUUACCAAUACAAUUUUGAAAUCAACGAAAAUUUGUCAGUUUUUCCGAUUUAUUGAGAAAACAUCAAUAAUAAUCAAAAAAAAAUACCCGCUUUAUAUACAAAAUAUGUCAAAAAUUCUACAAACAAGUUUAUAUCUUAUAAGUGUUUGAUCGAACAAGACUUCUAGUAGAGAAAUUGUUUACAGAUAUUUAUUAAAAAAUGUUUAAAAAAUACACUCGAAUAGAGUAAAAUCUAAGGGAACGGGAUAAUGGAAAUUUUGAUAGAUUUUCCAAAAAAACAAUACCAGAGAACCAAAAAUCUGUUAGGUAUUUGAGGUAUGGCAAGUAUUACAAGAAAAAUUAAAGAGUUUUCCCUAAACGAUAAAUUGUUUACUGAGAAAAAAUAAAUCGCACGAGUAAAACUAUACAAUUUUUCUAUUUUGUUAUACUCAGAAUCUAAUAAGAAAAGCCGAAGAAAAUAUUCGUGUUUAUUAACUAUUUAUUUAUUAACGGUUCUUAG